rnacentral:rRNA from 1 species
CCUACGGGAGGCAGCAGUGGGGAAUAUUGCUCAAUGGGGGGAACCCUGACGCAGCGACGCCGCGUGAGUGAUGAAGUUUUUCGGAUUGUAAAGCUCUUUUAGCAGGGAAGAAAAUUACGGUACCUGACUAAUAAUCCCCGGCUAACUCCGUGCCAGCAGCCGCGGUCAUACGGAGGGGGCAAGCGGUAUUCGGAAAUACUGGGUGUAAAGGGAGCGUAGGUGGUGAAGCAAGUCUGAUGUGAAAUUCCGUGGCCCAACCCGAGAACUGCAUUUGAAACUGUUAAUCUGGAGUACGGGAGAGGUAAGUGGAAUUCUUGGUGUAGCGGUGAAAUGCGUAGAUAUCAAGAGGAACACCAGUGGCGAAGGCGACUUGCUGGAAUAUAACUGACGCUGAGGCUCGAAAGCGUGGGGAGCAAACAGGAUUAGAUACCCGAGUAGUC